ensembl:misc_RNA Metazoa_SRP Metazoan signal recognition particle RNA
GCUGGACUUGGUAGCGCAUGCCUGUAGUCCCAGCUACUCAGGAGGCUGAGGCAGGAGAGUCCUUGAACCUGGGAGGCAGAGGUUGUAGUGAGCCGAGAUCAUGCCACUGCAGUCCAGCCUGGGCAACUACUCUGUCAUCCAGGCUGGAGUGCAAUGGCAUGAUCUCAGCUCACUGCAACCUCUGCCUCCCAGGUUCAAGCGAUUCUCCUGCCUCAG